rnacentral:rRNA from 1 species
UACGUAGGGACCAAGCGUUGUUCGGAUUUACUGGGCGUAAAGGGCGCGUAGGCGGCAAUUCAAGUCAUCUGUGAAAUCUCCGGGCUUAACCCGGAACGGUCAGGUGAUACUGUUUUGCUAGAGUGCGGAAGGGGCAAUCGGAAUUCUCGGUGUAGCGGUGAAAUGCGUAGAUAUCGAGAGGAACACCAGUGGCGAAGGCGGUUCUCUGGGCAUUACCUGACGCUGAGGAGCGAAAGUGUGGGGAGCGAACAGG